GCCGAAGUGGUGGAACUGGUAGACACGCAGUCUUGAGGGGGCUGUGAGGGAAACCUCGUGCCGGUUCGAUUCCGGCCUUCGGCA
rnacentral:tRNA from 1 species